rfam:Trachymyrmex cornetzi contig2388, whole genome shotgun sequence.
CAAUCGGCCCUUUUCAGGGCCACCAAAACAUACUGUAAUUACCGU